CGGGUGGUAAUGCCGGAUGCUCCAGUUGAUCGCAUGGUCUUCUGGGAAAGCUUUCGCGGUAUGGGAUGGGGUCGCGUCCUAUCAGCUUGACGGCGGGGUAACGGCCCACCGUGGCUUCGACGGGUAGCCGGCCUGAGAGGGCGACCGGCCACAUUGGGACUGAGAUACGGCCCAGACUCCUACGGGAGGCAGCAGUGGGGAAUAUUGCACAAUGGGCGCAAGCCUGAUGCAGCGACGCCGCGUGAGGGAUGGAGGCCUUCGGGUUGUAAACCUCUUUUAUCGGGGAGCAAGCGAGAGUGAGUUUACCCGUUGAAUAAGCACCGGCUAACUACGUGCCAGCAGCCGCGGUAAUACGUAGGGUGCAAGCGUUAUCCGGAAUUAUUGGGCGUAAAGGGCUCGUAGGCGGUUCGUCGCGUCCGGUGUGAAAGUCCAUCGCUUAACGGUGGAUCCGCGCCGGGUACGGGCGGGCUUGAGUGCGGUAGGGGAGACUGGAAUUCCCGGUGUAACGGUGGAAUGUGUAGAUAUCGAAAAAAAAACACCA
rnacentral:rRNA from 1 species